rnacentral:lncRNA from 1 species
AGGGAGGGAGGGAGGGAGAGACUGGUUGUGUACUUUUCAGUUCAGGGCAUCACCCUCUCCAGUUGUGGAUCGCAUCACCCCAGGCAUGGUGACAUGUGGUGAUUUGUAACCCUGAGAUGCCCUGAGGUCAUAUGGUAAAGCAAGCUCAAACCUCCAACUCCUAGCUCAGGCUCUCACAACCCACUGGCCUCCACUGCUGGACAACCAAUUAGAGAAUUCAGCUAAAGUAUGGGUGUCCACAGAGAGUCUGGGGCUCUGAGGGAGUCUAUGAGCCUGACAUGGUUUCUGUACCCAUUCUAACACCUGGGAGUCCUAUGACAUCUGUGGUCUCAUGCCGUGGUCAGGACACCCUGGAAGCACUUGGAACAGAAUACAACAGCAGCACUUUCCAGCCAGCCUGACAUCCUGCUUCCAGAUGCAAGACUCUGAGUGGGCACAAGGACAGCCCUGAAGCAGCUGCGAGCAAGGAGCUUGAGGUUCUGAUUUGAAAAUCUGAGUCUAGCAGCUUCCAGCUAGGCCCUCACUUUGUCUUCAUCCCCCCUCCCUUCUUGGCCCUCAAAUUAUCCAAAUAAUGUAUUACAGUCUGUAGUGGUUUAUAUUUGAAAUGUCCCCCAUGGGCUCUGGUGUAGUCCCCACUUGGUGGUGCUGUUUGGGGAGGCUAUAUUACAGUCUACUCUUAGACCUCCAUUCAGCUCCUUGGGGUUAGCACUGUCUGAUAUUACUACCUGGAAAUUUCCAGAAAAAAAUUCACUAGUGUCUUUAUUGUCUACAGUAUAUGAUUGUAAUUGUUCUGUUUAUUAUUCGCUAUUGUUAA